rnacentral:misc_RNA from 1 species
GUAUAUUUUGAUACAUUUCCCCUCAACCAUCGCAAUCAAUGGCAUAUUGGAAUAUCAGGCAACCACUUUUUCAUUUCCCCCCGCAUACACAUAUUAGUUGCGAUCGUUUGUUUGAAGAAGCAGAGAAUGAGAGUGGGAGAGAGAGAGAGAGAGAGAGAAAGCACGCUAGCUGCAAAAGCAACCAGCCUCCUCUCUCCUCUCCUCUCCUCCCCUCCCCCCCCCAAACUCCACAACUUGUGAAAGUUGUUUUCCUAUAAUGAUCCCUCCGCAGGUUCACCUACGGAGA